rnacentral:rRNA from 1 species
AACCAUUGGAAACGAUGGCUAAUGCCGAAUAUGAACCCCUUUCGCAUGUUGGGGGUUGGAAAGCUCCGGCGGAGAAGGAUGAGCUCGCGGCCUAUCAGCUUGUUGGUGAGGUAAUGGCUCACCAAGGCAUUGACGGGUAGCCGGCCUGAGAGGGUGACCGGCCACACUGGGACUGAGACACGGCCCAGACUCCUACGGGAGGCAGCAGUGGGGAAUAUUGGACAAUGGGCGAAAGCCUGAUCCAGCAACGCCGCGUGAGGGAUGACGGCCUUCGGGUUGUAAACCUCUUUCAGCAGGGACGAAGCGAAAGUGACGGUACCUGCAGAAGAAGGACCGGCCAACUACGUGCCAGCAGCCGCGGUAAUACGUAGGGUCCGAGCGUUGUCCGGAAUUAUUGGGCGUAAAGGGCUCGUAGGCGGUUUGUCGCGUCGGGAGUGAAAACUCAGGGCUCAACCCUGAGCGUGCUUCCGAUACGGGCAGACUAGAGGUAUUCAGGGGAGAACGGAAUUCCUGGUGUAGCGGUGGAAUGCGCAGAUAUCAGGAGGAACACCGGUGGCGAAGGCGGUUCUCUGGGAAUUACCUGACGCUGAGGAGCGAAAGCAUGGGGAGCGAACAGGAUUAGAUACCCUGGUAGUCCAUGCCGUAAACGUUGGGCGCUAGGUGUGGGGACCUUCCACGGUUUCCGUGCCGCAGCUAACGCAUUAAGCGCCCCGCCUGGGGAGUACGGCCGCAAGGCUAAAACUCAAAGGAAUUGACGGGGGCCCGCACAAGCGGCGGAGCAUGCUGAUUAAUUCGAUGCAACGCGAAGAACCUUACCUGGGUUUGACAUAUGCCGGAAAGCUGCAGAGAUGUGGCCCCCCUUGUGGUCGGUAUACAGGUGGUGCAUGGCUGUCGUCAGCUCGUGUCGUGAGAUGUUGGGUUAAGUCCCGCAACGAGCGCAACCCUCGUUCUAUGUUGCCAGCACGUUAUGGUGGGGACUCAUAGGAGACUGCCGGGGUCAACUCGGAGGAAGGUGGGGAUGACGUCAAGUCUUCAUGCCCCUUAUGUCCAGGGCUUCAAGCAUGCUACAAUGGCCGGUACAAAGGGCUGCGAAACCGCAAGGUGGAGCGAAUCCCAAAAAGCCGGUCUCAGUUCGGAUUGGGGUCUGCAACUCGACCCCAUGAAGUCGGAGU